rnacentral:rRNA from 1 species
AUUGAACGCUGGCGGCAGGCCUAACACAUGCAAGUCGAGCGGAUGAAGGGAGCUUGCUCCUGGAUUCAGCGGCGGACGGGUGAGUAAUGCCUAGGAAUCUGCCUGGUAGUGGGGGAUAACGUCCGGAAACGGGCGCUAAUACCGCAUACGUCCUGAGGGAGAAAGUGGGGGAUCUUCGGACCUCACGCUAUCAGAUGAGCCUAGGUCGGAUUAGCUAGUUGGUGGGGUAAAGGCCUACCAAGGCGACGAUCCGUAACUGGUCUGAGAGGAUGGUCAGUCACACUGGAACUGAGACACGGUCCAGACUCCUACGGGAGGCAGCAGUGGGGAAUAUUGGACAAUGGGCGAAAGCCUGAUCCAGCCAUGCCGCGUGUGUGAAGAAGGUCUUCGGAUUGUAAAGCACUUUAAGUUGGGAGGAAGGGCAGUAAGUUAAUACCUUGCUGUUUUGACGUUACCAACAGAAUAAGCAACGGCUAACUUCGUG